CUUAUUUAUUAUUAUAUCGGUUACAAAAUACCGAUAGUCACUCGAGCUAUGAUAAUCAGUUAGCGAUCUCCCUAUUGGAUAAGCAAAAAUGAACAGAUUUACCUACACGAAGUUGAAACGGUUUGGUAAUCCUUUAACAUUCCCCGAGUCAUGUUCCGGUUUUGUUCGCCGUCUUUGGGGACAUGACGCAGUCCCGUGGGAGAGGCUUAAAGAGUUGCAAAGCUCCAUUCCUCUCGACACACGGAAAACCAUUUCUGAGAUCGGAUUCUUUCCCUGAAAGAUGGUACAAAAAUUCGCUGGAAUCGAAAUUCGUGGAUUCACGUAGGAAUGCUUGACUUAAAGAGGAUUUAACAGAACUAGAUAUAAGAAUAAUCUAUUCACGAAAAUCUGAAUAGUGGAAUACAUUUCAAACCGUUAAAGAUGUGCAAAAACAAAUAACAUAGAAGAUAUGAAUUGGGAUACCUAAAUAAUCUUUAAUCUUAUUAAAUCCGUCUUCAUUUUCAAAAUAAUAGAAACCUUUUGAAUAGAAUGUUUGUUUGUCUACCUAAUUAUGUUUUCAAAUUUUACAAUUGUGAUAUUGGCUGGUAAUGAAUAAUGACAGGUAAAAUAGCAAUAAUAAAUGACAAAGGACAACAACAAUUUUUACAUCAACAUUGUCCUCAUUAUGUGAUAUAAUCACUUUGCCUACCUAUGGAAUUCUACUAAGAUUGUAUAUACCUGGACGUGUAAACGUUAUCUGCUCAAAGUAUCUACUCAUGUAGACGAAAAAAGGGGAAAAAGAAUGGCAAUGGACUAGAAUUAUAAAAGAAUUAGCAGCAAGUUUUUGGAUAGAAAAGAAAGUAUUCUUAUAUUUAGUUAUGAGAUGAAAAUAUUUCUAGUUUGGCACUUGCAUUAAUGGAGAUAUUUUAUUAUGUUAUAAAUAAAGUAUGUUGAAUUUUUUUUUAAA